rnacentral:rRNA from 1 species
CAGCCGCCACGGGAAUACAGAGGGUGCAAGCGUUAAUCGGAAUUACUGGGCGUAAAGCGCGCGUAGGUGGUUUGUUAAGUUGGAUGUGAAAUCCCCGGGCUCAACCUGGGAACUGCAUCCAAAACUGGCAAGCUAGAGUAUGGUAGAGGGUGGUGGAAUUUCCUGUGUAGCGGUGAAAUGCGUAGAUAUAGGAAGGAACACCAGUGGCGAAGGCGACCACCUGGACUGAUACUGACACUGAGGUGCGAAAGCGUGGGGAGCAAACAGGAUUAGAUACCCGCGUAGUCCCUGUCUCUUAUAC